rnacentral:lncRNA from 1 species
GGGGUGUUUUUUUUUUUUUUCACCCUACCAGCGUAGAAUGUGCAAGUUAGCAUCUUUAGCUUCCUUUUUACUAAUUUUAUUAUUUUUUGCCUUAUCUGCUGAUAAAGUCUCCUUCCUGUAGGCUUCCCCAUUUAGGGGAUAGUUUGUACUCAGCAGCAUCUCUCACUACCAAGGGUGGGGACAUUCCACUUCCCAGCCACUUUCCCAAACAUGCUACGUCCAGGGACUACAAACUCACUGGAUUGGACAAUGGACAGUCUUACUAUUCCCUCAGCAGCGGGUCCUCCAUUCUAUGAGUGAAAAGACUGCACUGAGCAAACAAACGAGCCUACAGUGUGCACUAAUUCUCUCUGCCUCUGACUGUGGCAUGGCUGGCUGUGCCUCUGACUGUGGCAUGGCUGGCUGUGCCUCUGACUGUGGCAUGGCUGGCUGUGCCUCUGACUGUGGCAUGGAUGGCUGUGCCUCUGACUGUGGCAUGGAUGGCUGUGCCUCUGACUGUGGCAUGGAUGGCUGUGCCUCUGAUUGUGGCAUAGCUGGCUGUGCCUCUGACUGUGGCAUGGCUGGCUGUGUUUCUGACUGUGGCAUGGCUGGCUGUUCUAAAUCCCUGCUUCCUUGGCUUCCUGAUAACUGUAACCUGGAAUUAUAAACUGAAUAAAGUCCUCCCUCCCUCCC